rnacentral:rRNA from 1 species
GGACGUUCUGAUUUCGUAGGUGACCUGCGGAAGGAUCAUUA